ACCCGUGCAGAUGCGGGUUGCCUCCAGGGGGACGGGAAGACCCUAUGCAGCUUUACUGUAGUUAGUUAUCAUGUUAAUCUAGAACAAUCUUGGUUAAUAGUGAUUAGGGAAGUCGAUAGACGAAAUAUGGAAUACCUUAAAACCAAGGUUGGGUUAAUAUUAACCUUAUAAUUUAUAAUUAGAGGGAGAGUUGACUAAGUGGCAGUUUGACUGGGGCGGUCGUCUUUGAUAAAGUAGCAAAGUACAUCCAAAGAUUUUUUUUUUUAAUAAUCUCGCUAACCCCUUUCCUUUAGGUAAAGGAAGUGAGAUUCAAACUUAAAUUUUUAGUAUAAAUUAAAACUAUUAAAUAAAUAUAAAAUAUUAAAUUUAUUUUUUAUUUUGUAUUUUUAUUAACAUAAGGUAGAGCUAGAUAAUUGAAUGGAGAUCAAUCAACCAGUGAUAAAGGUUGUAAUCGGCGUAAUGGCGGAAAGCAUGCCUAACUGAAAGACCUAGAAGUCGCACAGAUACGUAAGUAGGGCAUAGUGACCCUUCGCUAUAAUAUGGAAUAGACGGGGAUCAAUCGAUAUAUAAGGCCCCUAAGAUUAAAAAUGUUCAAGUCAUGGAAUUAGCCAUCGCAGAGGG
rnacentral:ncRNA from 1 species